rnacentral:rRNA from 1 species
GGGUGGAGAAUCUUGCAGCAAUAGGGCAAAAGCCUGACGCAGCAACGCCGCGUGAGGGAAGAAGGCCUUCGGGUUGUAAACCUCUUUCAGCAGGGAGGAAGGGUCGUCGGGUUAAUAGCCCUUCGGGUGACGGUACCUUCAGAAGAAGCCCCGGCCAACUACGUGCCAGCAGCCGCGGUAAUACGUAGGGGGCGAGCGUU